UACGGGGGGGGCAAGCGUUGUUCGGAAUUACUGGGCGUAAAGGGUCUGUAGGUGGCUCGCUAAGUCAGACGUGAAAUCCCUCAGCUUAACUGGGGAACUGCGUCUGAGACUGGCAAGCUUGAGUGCAGGAGAGGAACGCGGAAUUCCAGGUGUAGCGGUGAAAUGCGUAGAUAUCUGGAGGAACACCGGUGGCGAAGGCGGCAUCCUGGACCAACACUGACACUGAGGAGCGAAAGCCAGGGGAGCAAACGGG
rnacentral:rRNA from 1 species